rnacentral:rRNA from 1 species
GAGGAAUAUUGGACAAUGGGCGCAAGCCUGAUCCAGCCAUGCCGCGUGCAGGAAGAAGCAUCUAUGGUGUGUAAACUGCUUUUGUACGGGAAGAAACACUCCUUCGUGAAGGAGCUUGACGGUACCGUAAGAAUAAGGAUCGGCUAACUCCGUGCCAGCAGCCGCGGUAAUACGGAGGAUCCAAGCGUUAUCCGGAAUCAUUGGGUUUAAAGGGUCCGUAGGCGGUUUGGUAAGUCAGUGGUGAAAGCCCGCAGCUCAACUGUGGAACGGCCAUUGAUACUGCCAGACUUGAAUUACAAGGAAGUAACUAGAAUAUGUAGUGUAGCGGUGAAAUGCUUAGAUAUUACAUGGAAUACCAAUUGCGAAGGCAGGUUACUACUUGUGGAUUGACGCUGAUGGACGAAAGCGUGGGGAGCGAAC